rnacentral:misc_RNA from 1 species
AACAUCGCGCACCUGCGGGAACCUGCGGAAGGAUCAUUACCGAGUUAUACAACUCAUCAACCCCUGUGAACUUACCUACAACGUUGCUUCGGCGGGAACAGACGGCCCCGUAAAACGGGCCGCCCCCGCCAGAGGACCCCUAACUCUGUUUUUAUAAUGUUUUCCUGAGUAAACAAGCAAAUAAAUUAAAACUUUCAACAAUGGAUCU